AAAGAACCUGAAGUAUAAAGGACUUGAGAAUUAAUUUUCUAAUGAUUUUUUAAUAUAAAGGACUUGAGCUAUACUUUUCUUGAGCUAAAUUUGAGCAAUGUGUUUCUCAACAUAUAAAGGACUUGAGCUACACAUUUAAUGAUGAGCUAGAUGUUUUAAAAUAUAAAGGUCUUGAGCUAGAUGUUUUUUAAUGAAAAAAUGGACUUGAGCUAUAUGUUUCUAUAAAAAGCUUUCCUAAUGUUUUAAUGAUAAAAAGAACUUGAGCUAUAUGUUUUUUUAAAUAAAAAGGACUUGAGCUAUUCUUUUCUAAUGUUUCCCUCCUGUGAUAUAAAAAUCUAAAGGUGUUGAGAUAUUUUUUUUCAGAUAAAAAGGACCUGAGCUGUAUGUUCUAAUAAUGUAAAGGACUCAAGCUAUUCGAUUUAAUAAUAAAAGGUUGUGAGCCAUGUGUAUUUUCUAAUAAAAAAAGGACUUGAGCGAUAUGUUUUUCAAAAUAUAAAGGACUUGAGCUAUUUGAUUUUAUGAUUUUAAUGAAAAACAAGAACCAAAGCUACAUUUUUAUAAGAAUUGAAAUGUCUUUAGCUAUAUGUUUUUAAUAUAAAAAGGACUUAAGAUAUAAAUUUUUCCUAGAUCUAGCUACAGGCGGUUUCCCAGUUAGACUUCAGCCCGUAGUUUUUGGUCCAAGCUUUACUCAGUGACUGGCCUAAUGUAAAGUGUAGUAAUCCAGUGUUAUGUUACAGGUAAACUGUGACACAGCAGAGCAAAGGACUGGCAGAUGGGGAGCACUGAUAUCCACUUCUCUAUAUAGAACCCAACAAAGGAUGCCUGGGAUAAGAUAACGGAUGCGGAACCUGUGUACAGAGAAAGCAGAAGACGUGAGCAACAUCAGUCAUGCUAUAGAAGAUUAUGAGGAUCAACAAAAAACUACCCUAUUAGCUAUAAUACAGUUUAGCCCAGAACUUGGAAGACAUCAAAAGAAAUUAUAAAAUGUCUAAACCUACUGACAAUGGAAUGCAGUAAGAUAUUUAGUUGUUCAAUCGAAUAUUUAUAUGGAGUAUUUAAAACCUUAAAAAAAAAUUAUUUCAUGGCUAAUUAUAUGUUUUUACAAUUACUGAGAUUUAGGUAUAAAAGUAUAACAAUUGUCAAGACGACAUUCUUUAAAUUCUUUCGACAUCUCCGAAGUUCUGGGCUAAACUGAGGAGAAAUCUUUUUGUUUCAUUAUCUCUCAUUUAUAAAUGAUGUCAAUGAUAAUAAGAAAGGAUCCGCUUAAUUUACAAUUACGUACAUGUUAUUCCUUGCUCCUACAAUGGAUAGACAAGCCGAUCCGUAAACGCAGUUCCUUGUAAAGAGUAUAAAAUUAACCAACAAUGCUAUUUUCGAGUCAAAAAUAAACUGAUCAAUGACAGCUUU
rnacentral:lncRNA from 1 species